rnacentral:lncRNA from 1 species
UCCUAUCUCCUGCUUAGUCUAUUAAGGUCAUAUUCAACGGUCUGAUAGAUUGUAUUUGUUGUCGUUCAAAUUCUAAUCACGUUUCAGUCUCCGGAUAAGUGUAGUUCAUAAAUUGACUAGGUUUCUGAGGGGAUAGUUCGUCAAAUCAACUUAUUUUUGAGUUUCCGAUUAGAGAAAUUUCAGUGACUAUAUCCUUCUUAAUCUAUUAUGGGCAUAUUCAACGGUUUGAUAGCUCUUUUUUUUUUGUUGUUUGUGACCUAGCCUCGUUUCAGUCGUCGUACAAGUGAAGUUCCUAGUUGACUAGGUUUACGUAGGGAUAGUUUGUCAGAUUAUUUAACAUCAUUUUUUAAAUUUUAUCCUUGAUGUAUGUGUGCUCAUAUAAAUUGUAUUUAGCUUUGUGUCUAUGUAAGACUUGCUUUACUUAGAAACCCAAAAUUAAAUGAAUUAAAUCAUUUAUUAUUUCCUCACAAUUCAAAAUAGUUAAUGUUCAUUAUAUAGAAUGAAAAUCCUAGACUUGAACAAUUGAAUGUGUAGUGUAGUUCAUUAUGUUAUGGUUUGUUGAGCAUUUGGUCCCUUGUUCGAUCCAUGCUGUGGUCAUUUUUUUUUCUUUCUAAUCUCAUCUUCUUCGCCCGUAUACUGUAAAACGGAUUUUUUUGCCCCACGUUCCGACCCGAUCGGAUCUCACUUGUUACUCAAUGAAAUUCAACAAUUUUUUUUCAUAGUUUUGAUCGGAAUUGAAAGGCAUGAAGCAAGCACAAGCUUAUUUUACAAAUCCACAAUCCAAUCACAUAUUUUAUUUUUUAGGGUUCUUUAAAAUAAAAACACAUUUACAUCUUUAUUUUUUCGAUUCAGCAUCUAGCUGUAGUCAACUAAGGAAGGAAAGAACAAAUAAAAAAACACUGAUCUAAAGAAACGCAGAAAUGAAAAAACUAAUAUUUGAAACAAUCUCAAAUGGAACAUGGGUGGAGAAGAAUGAGAUUGAAGGAGAAUAAUUUGGAUUUAGAGGGUGAUGGUGAGGUUAAUUCUGGGUGUUAAUUUUGAAAGUUUGGACAAAGUAACAUGAAGGGGUAGAGAUUCAAUAUCUCCGAGAAAGGAAAAAGAUGAUUUUGAUUGCUAAUUUGAGUCAACUCACCAUGGUUAACGUUGAGAAGGAUUGCAAAUGUUUUUGCAACAUUUCCCAAAACACCCUUCAUUGUAUUUGUUAUUGAAAGUUCUAGUUUUUAUUAGUAAAAUUGUAUAUAAUAAUUAGGGCCUACAAUAUAAAACUUAACAGGUAACUUUGACUUUCAAUCAGAACCACUCAUUAAUUUAUAAUAAAUCUUAUGGCUGCCAUUGAUUCUCCAAAGAUCAAGUACCGUGCGAGACCCAUUCACCUCGCGUACGGGAGACGUCGCCGCUUUUGUGGCCCUUGGUUGAAUUGAGUUUGGUUUAACACAGGUUUUGCUUUUGAAAUGCUGACAAAGGUAUAUAUUCAUGUGUAUAUAUCUCAAUGUAAAUAUAGUAUAAGUUGUUAAUAAUUAGUACUCCCUCCGGUCCUAUUUAUAAGAAAAUGUUAAUUUUUAAGAUUUAUUGUAUAAUUAAUGUAUCUUGUUUAGAAUAUAGACUAAAUACAUUAUUUAUGCAAUGAAUCAAAAAAGUCAAAAAUUUCUUAUAAAUGAGAUUGGAGGGAGGGACUAAUAAACUACUCCAUCCAUCCUAUAAUGAACUAUUUGACAAUUGCACACACAUUAAAAAAAGAAUUAAAUAAUGCUGACAAAGGAUUAAAUAUUGUACAAAAAAGGAUCGCCGUACAUGCAAAGUGAAAAUUAUUGUCUUAAUAAUGAUACAUGCAAGUAUUAAAUAUAUUAAUUAGUGGACAAAGGAGUAUUUACAACUACUUUUGAAAAUAGAAAGGGUCGCAUAUAUUUUGGGAUAGAUUCUUUAUAUUUAUAAAUGAACCGCGCAUUGAUUCGGUUUUGAAAAAAGGAUUCCAAAUAUAAUCAGACCGAUUUUCAUAAAAGAAUAUCCAAAAACAUAUUAUAUCGAUUAUAUGAUUUUUGAUUUUUUAAUUUGGCUUGUGAUUUUAAUUCAAAUUUGAUUGUGACGCUUUUGACUCCUACCGCGGUCUUUUACAAAAAGUUCAAAGCGUCAUGGAUGAUAAUGUUGUGUCUCAUAGAUUUAUGAAUAUAGUUUACAAAAGGGUUAAUUUUGCCGUCAAAAAAGGUUUAGCGACCAACCCGUUGCUCAAUUUUUUUUUUCUUGUGUAAUUUUAUACCAUAGUAUAUAGUUUUGAAAAUUUGAUUUUUUUUUUAUAUGAAUUGAACACCGUUAAUAUUUUUAAACAAUGUUGUUAAAAAAUGUACUGCAAACGAUAAUCCUUUCGGUAUUGGCAACACAUUUUUACCCUAAACCUUGAGGCAAUGAGUUCUCUCACUUAUAAAGUUCUCAACCUUCACUUUUCUAUUCGAUGUGGGACAUAUAACUCACACACUCUUGAAACGGUUGAGCAAUCUAUCCAAGAGGCUGCUCCACCACUAGAUAAGUACAAUACCUCUUUUCACAUGUCAUUACUUAAUGUAAUUGAUGAAAUUGUAAGGCCAUACGUCAAUGAGCAGCGUCCAAGUUUGGAAGGAGUCACAAAAACUAUACCUUUGAAAGCAAACAAUAGCGAUAUCAUUAAUACAUGCGAGAUUAUUGUGCAAGCUCCUCCUGAUUUUGAAUCAAAUAUGACUAAUAUUCUUGCGCACUCUGAAGAUCUGGUUGAUCCAAACCUUCAUAAAGAACUGGAUCUUGUUCAACACAUGUUGAUUCAAGGUAAAUACGUUGACGUCUCUAUUACGCCUUAUCUAAUGAAGAAGUAGAAAAAACAACUCAGCAAACACAAUUCCUAUAACUCUAAUAUUAGUUACAAUCCAAUGAUAUAUCAUGGUAUAGCUAGCUAGGCCUCCUCCGCCCCUAAGUAUAUAAGCAUUUCACCACUCAGUGAAAAAACUGUUCCAAAUAUAAGUUCUUAAUUUUAAAAUAUGAAAGUCAAUAUUGGAUGAACACGUCUAUAAACAAUAAUUUAAUAAUAAUUACAUACCUUGUCAAAAAAAUAUAUAUAUAUAUAUUACAUACAAAAUCUAUUUAGGUUGGUAUGGUAGUAUUGACUUGGGAUCUGAAAAUGUGCUUCUCUUCAAGGUCAGGUAGAUUCUACUCGGUGUUAACUUCAAAAAAAAAAAAUUACAUACAAAAAUUACAUAUUGCCUUCACUAUCAACCUUUUUUAAUAUAUAUAUAUAUAUAUAUAUAUGUGUAGUAAAAUAUAGCAUUAAUGUUUAUAAAAAAAUAAAUAAAAAGAGAUGGAAAGAAUGUUUAGUAAAAACAAUAAUGUCAAUUUUUUUUAGGUGUGGAAGUUAGUCAAUUUUAACACACAAAAAACUAAUUUAUAUGAACGGAAUGAAGUUCCCUUACUUGUCGUCCUUGCAGGGCAUUUUUAUUUUUAUUAUAGAAAAUCAAUUCCUCGUGGAACGCAUGGCAUUAUUUUACCCUAGUUUACAUUCAUUUUGAUCAAGUCUCAUAAUUUAUUUAUUUUUUGGAAAAAAUUCCAUGGACACAAACUACAAACACAAGUUUUAAGCAAACUUACAUAAAGUCAAAACUAUUUUUUUGUUACUACAAGUUUAGGUGAGUUGAGAAAUAUAAGGGUUCAUCGAAGUUAAUCAUGAAGGUUCAACGAGCGUUAUAAAGGUAUUUCCAGAUCACCCAUCAAAUUAGUCUAAUGCUUGUAGAGUAGAGGGAGUUGAAAUCAUAAUUUUACGUCAAGAAAACUUACGUAGUCACAAACACAAAUAUAAUUAGACACACACAUAAAUUGAAAAAAUUAAAAAAGAAAAUAAUUGAAUGAUGUGAUUAAAUUAUUUCUUAUUUAUUUUUCUACAUUUAUGUGAAUGUGGCUAAACAUUUUUCAUUUCUAUUUUGUGUUUAAGUAAGACUUGCUCACUUUAAUUAUGACUAAACUCCUUACCAACUAAACAUGGUACCGUUUGACCAGACUUUUUUUCGGUCUAAAAACUACUUUAAAACAAAGUUAAAAUAAAGCUCUUUAAGAAAAAAGUUAAAGCUGUUUGGUUUCUUUAUUUUUUUUAAUUCUAAAGUUAUUUUUAAGUUAAAAGUUGUUUGGCAAAAUAUUGUACAAAACUUUGAAUUUUUUUUUUUUUUUUGUGGUGUUCGGGGUUCGAACCCGCGAUCUUGCAUAUAUUUAUACAUUGUCUAUAUCAACUGAGCUAAGCUAGAGAAUAGUUUGUUUUUUCUUUUCCAAUUAUACUGUAUAACAAAUUUUGUUAUAAGAAUAUCAUAUUUUUGGUAUCAUUUAAAAAGAUAAGAAUUUAUAUUAUAUGAUAUUAUAUUUUGUUACAUUGUUGUUGUCAUUGAAAAAGAUAUGUUUAGUUUUUUUUUUUUUAUAAGAAAAAGAUAUAUAAAUGUGUAAAAUAUAUAUAAGUAUAAUUUUUUUAGGCAUCUAUACUAGUACUUUUAAUUAAAAUCAAAAUUAUAGACAUUAGCGUAACAAGAAAAACAGACAUACAAACAUAAAAUAUUACUCUAAACGCUAAUGCGUGUGUGUAUAUUUGUGAGGUUGAAGAAAGGGAAUAAAAAUAUUUGAUGUCAUUCAAUGACAACAUGAAUAAAAAUAUUUGUGAAGUUGUGAUAAUUAAACGAUAUUAAAAUUAAAUAUAUAAGUGAUAAAAAGAUAAUAAAAGAUUAAUUAAAACAUUGAACGACCAUUUUAGUUAUUUUUAAAAUAAUUAAAGAUUAAUUAAAAGGUAAAAUUACCAUUUUGUGAGUUUGCAAGGAACUUAUUAUACUUUCAUUUCCUUUUACCCUUGUCUAUUAUUCAUUCUUCAACCACCACCACAUAUCAUCACCUCUCCUGGCUAUAUAUUAAGCUCUUGCCCAUCAUUUGUUGCAAUUAGCUAACCCAUCUUUUAUUUUUUCACUCACUUGUUUCCAAUUUUCCCCAAAAAAUUCCCUCCUUAUUUUUCUUUCUCUAUAAACCUCUUGUUUAGAAACACACGCAGAGAGAUGAAGAAGAAGAGAAAGAAGAAGAUUACACCUACCAAGUAAUAUAUAUUUUAUUUUCUUUUUAAUUCCUCUUGUUGAUCUGUUUUAGUUUAUCACUUCUUAUUUCAUUCUUCUCAUGAACAUUAAGAUUCUAGCAUAAAUACAUGUUGGAAUAAUUGAUUAAUUAAUUAAUUUGAUUAGCAUAACUAAGAUCUAGCCUCCAUGAGUCAUCAUAAUUAAUAUAUUAAUUAUUAACAACAACCUUAAUCAUUACAAUUUGUGAUAUCAUUACCAAUAACAUACUACAACACAUCCCCGUAAUUUAAUUUGUUAAGAAACCAAAGUGAGAAACACAACAUGAUGAUAAAUAGAACAGAAUGGAAGAGGACAAAUACUAAAGAACAGUAGCAAACAAGGACCUCCUGUGCUGUGGAUUUUUAUGAUCAAAUUCAAAGCCAUAAUCACCAUUGUUGUCUCAAGUUAAUUAAAGUUUCUUACAAAAGAUUCCAUUUCAAUUUUAGGUACCAAAAUGUGCCCUAAAUUUAAAAGUAAAAUUUCAAAUAAAUUGACAUCUUAGCUACCCUACCAUUCAAUUUCAAUCUACAUUAAUAGCUUGUGGAAGGCCUUUUAAGUCUGAGUUACUAAACAAGUCUUAAUAUUGCAUUGAACUUCUUUUUUUUUUUUUUUUUUUACAAAUUAAUGUUGCAUUGAACUUUGUUUAUAUCAUUAUGUACUUAAUCAUAUGAAACAUUUAAUCAUUUUGAUUUAUAUACUGUGAGUCUGUUAUUACUAUUUGGUCCACAGUUUAUUGUUUUAGGGGAUCACGGUGUAAGUAUAUAUGUCACAUGAAGUCAUGUUUUUGUUUGCCUUCAAUUGUAUACUGUUAUUAUUUGUCCUAUAACAACAAUGGUUUUUGCUUGAUUUCAGUGCUGUUUUCUACAUAUUGUUUGGUCUUAGCACAAAUCUACGGCAUAAUACCCACAUGCAUUAUUACUAAGGGAUUCCAUGUGGGUCAAGUAAGUAGAAUUUUUAUUUGUUACUUGUUUUUCUUUUUCAUUUGAUAAAAAAAACUUUUUAGUUCAAUUUUCUGCAUCCCCGCCAUACUUUCGGCUCUCAUUACAAGUUUCAACUAGUGAAGUCCGCAUACUUCAAACAUGUAAUUAAUAUUAUUAUAAUUAAGGGUUAAUACCACUUUUGGUCCCUGUAAUAUUAAUAUUAGCGAAUUCUAGUUUUAGUUCCUGUAAAAAAAAAGUUUAAAUUAUGUCCGUGUCAUUUUAAAUUCUUCCACUUUUAGUCCCUCAAUUGAACACAUCAGCAGAAUCUGCUGACGUGUAAUUGAUGAUCGUGUAAUUUUAAUAUUUUUUAAUCCACAUGAUAUUUAUAAUUAUUUUCAUUAUUUAAAAUUCUAAAACAUAAAACAUAAAUUAAAAAACACAAAUAUUUUCAUUCCCUCAUCUCUCUCUGCGAUCUAUCUUCCCCCUCCUCCGACCACCAUCUCGGCCGCCGUCCAUCACAUCAUUGAAGCGCACCACCCUCGUUCUCCCUCUCCUUCUACACCCUCCACUGUCAUCUCUUUGUCCCUUUUCCACAUCUCUCCCCUCCAUCCUAAUCUCUCCCUCAUCAAUCAAUCACCACCACACCCUUCCUCCUCAAUCACCACCACCAUCCUCGUCGCCACCACCAUCUCACUUUAAUUCUAAAUCGUAAUUUUCUUUUAAAUUUUCUGGUGUUUUGAUUUGAAAGCCCCUAACCUUAUAAGUUUGCAUCAGAUUUGUUUAUACAAUUAAUUCAGAUGCAUUUGUCAAUUUGUUUCUCAAAACUUCAGAUCUGAAAUCUAAAAUUUAAGUUGGGGUUUCAUUUGACUUGUGGUGUUAAUUGAUUUAGGAGUUCAAUUUGAUGUAGGGUUUUGCAUUGAAGAAGAAUAAGAAAGAGAAUGUUUAAAAUGGGAUGGGUUGAAACAAGAAAAUGUGAAACAUAGAAAUAGAUGAAGAAGGAGAUCAAGAGGGUUAGUAAAUUUUUUUUUGUUGAAGAUGAAGAGUGUUUGGAACGAAAAAAAGCAGAUGAAGAGGGUCUGUUAUUUUGUUUCAAUUUUUAUAUUUUUCUACUUUAACAAUGUUUUAAAGUUUUUUUUUAAUAAGUAUAAAUCAUAUCCCUCAAAAAUGAAAUAAUUAUAAAUCAUAGAAAAGCCACAUGAAAAUAAAUUUAAUAAAAAAAAUAAAAGAAUUACACAGUCAUCAUGACAUGUCAGCAGAUUCCGCUGAUGUGUUUUAUUGAGGGACUAAAAGUGGAAGAAUCUAAAAUUACAGGGACAGAAUCUAAACUUUUUUUUUACAGGGACUAAAACCGAAAUUCGCUAAUAUUACAGGGACCAAAAGUAGUAUUAACCCUAUAAUUAAUUCUGAUAUAGUUCUUUUGUGAAUAAGUUUUUUUUUUUAAAAUGGAAAAUAAUGUUUAUGAAGUGAUUAGUAAAAUAAUACAAGUGUUGAUGUAUAGACUUAUGCGAAAGUAAGGAGUGGGUCAAUAACUAUUACAGCACCAACUUUAGAUCUCUACUUGAUCUAAUGGCUGGUAGUAUACUUUGGUACACCCACGUAACAAUGAAGAACAUGAAUAUCUACCAAUAUCCCAUUGAAAAACUGAGGGUGCAGCCGGUAGGCCUAAUUGUCGCUUUUGCUGUGAUGGCCACACUUGGUGAGUCAUAUUGACUUAAACUAUAUUACAAGCUUCUAUGGUCUUCAUUCUUUUGAUUGAUUUAUAUCAUUAUUUUGUCAUUUUCCUUUCAAACGAAAGGUUUCUGAAAUCAUAUUACAUUGUUGGGCUUGUAUUUUAAUAUAGUUGCACAUAUGCACCUUAUGAUUAUGGUUAUAAAUUUUCAAGAAAACAUUCAGCUUUACGCUUAAGAUUGAAGAAUCUGUUUAUUUAUUCUUUAGGCCAUAAAUCAAAAGAUCCUAUUUUGAGAAAUGAGGUAUGGUUAUUUAAUUGAUCCAAGAAUGAAUAUACCAACAAUGGAUUUGUCCAAUAGUAAAAGACUUAAAAAAAUCUGGUAUGGUUAGACUCCUUAAACAUGUGGUCAUGAGUUUGAUUUUGACUCAUGCUUAUAAAAAAAUCUGGUUGAAUGGAGAGAACCGACCUGCAUGCUGGUUUAUCAUAACCAUUCUUGCGUUUUAGUGAAUAUUCUUAUUUUAGGAAGGGUUUGAUUCCGACUCAUGCCUAAGAAAAAAUUUGGUUGGACGGGGAAACUCCACCUCCCCACUGGUUUGUAAGUAAGAUACGAUCAGCUUUUACUGUUUAGUCCAAAGCAUUAACUUUUAUUAUUUCAAAAAGUUUAUUUAUAUUUUUUAAAAUUUUUGAAAAUUAAUUUCCAUAUUUUUAAAUUUAUUAUUUAUUUUUAUAUGUUUAUUUUAAUUUCAAAAUAUAUUUUUUGUUUUUAAAAAAUGAUUUUAAAAUAAUAAAAUUACAAAAUCUAGUGAUGAGGGAGUAUGGUAAGGAUGUGUUCUUGGUUUGAUCUAAUGGUUAAAAACUAACUUUCCCAUGGUGGGAAAAAUUAGCCUUUCCCAUACUAAACUUCACCUAGAAUAUGAGUUGAAAAUAUAGUGUUAGUAACUAUAAAUACCCACUCAUACACAACAGCAAAAGUAGCAUAACGUAAGCAAUAGAGAGAGAUAGUUAGUUAGUUAUCCAUCGAACUAAAAAGAAGUGACCCCAUCACAAACUGUAAUUCUCAAUCAUUUGCAAAUCCAAACUCAUGGCAUAGUACUUAGUAGCAUACCUUAUUACCACCUUCCAAAACUUCAAUCAUGCUGGCAUGAAAAGUACCAGUUUUCCAUUCAUAUAUAUAUAUGUAUUUUUUUUCUUUUUUAUUUCUUUUUCUUAGUUAAAUAAUUCUGGAUUUCCAAAUAUCGAAACUGAAAGAGUUGACUAUGAAUUUGAGCUGUAUUUUUUGUUUUUCAUAAUAAGACUUUAUUGAGCUGUACAUUUUAAAAAUAAAAUAAAAAGAAAAAAAUAUCGUCAUUUAGCACACUGAAAUCAUGUUUUUCCCUCCUAGCUUAUUGUCUUUCUAUGCUUAAACACUUCAAAACCAAUGUCCAAUACACACUUAUGUCGACAUUUUACGACAUUGUAUAGUCUAAUAAAAUAAAUAACAAGCCAUAUGAACGGAAACAAAUUCCAUCUUUGUUGCUGUCAGUAUGUGCAUAUUAUAAUGUAACAUGGAAAUAUCAGAUUAAAUAUUCAAUCACAAUUUUGAAAACCUACAAAUUCAACUAACAAAAUAUCCAUAUAAACUCAUCUUUGUUAUUGUCAUUAAGUGCAUAUCCUCUUAAAUCUGAAUUUCUAACCAUUGAAAUGGGAUUCAAACUCUUUGUUCUUUCGAUCUUCAUUCUCUUUAUAGUCCCAACUCUAAUAGCUGCAGAGUGCACAUGUGACGAAGAAGAUGAAGAAAGGGACAGAUCAAAAGCUCUACGCUACAAAAUAGCGGCUUUAGUGUCAAUAUUAGUUGCAAGUGCAAUUGGUGUUUGUCUCCCACUUCUUGGGAAAGUGAUACCGGCAUUAAGCCCUGAAAAAGAUAUAUUUUUUAUCAUCAAAGCAUUUGCUGCCGGUGUGAUACUGUCCACCGGUUUCAUUCAUGUGCUUCCUGAUGCUUUUGAGAAUCUUACUUCUCCAUGUUUAAACGAACAUCCUUGGGGUGAUUUUCCCUUCACUGGUUUUGUAGCUAUGUGCACCGCUAUGGGGACUCUUAUGGUUGAUACUUAUGCAACCGCUUAUUUUCAGAACCAUUAUUCUAAAAGGGCACCGGCACAGGUUGAAAGUCAGACAACCCCAGACGUGGAGAAUGAAGAACAUACACAUGUUCAUGCUCACGCAUCACAUAGUCAUGCACAUGGUCAUAUUUCUUUCGAUCAGUCAUCAGAACUUCUUCGUCAUAGGGUCAUAUCACAGGUAAUAAUAAUAUAAAUUUAAUCAUAUAAAGAUAUUUGUGCAUGAGAUGUGAAUAUGAUUUUUUGAUUUUAUCAUAGGUGUUGGAGUUGGGAAUUAUUGUUCACUCUGUUAUCAUAGGAAUUUCUUUAGGUGCUUCAGAGAGUCCUAAAACCAUAAGACCAUUAGUGGCUGCGUUGACUUUUCAUCAGUUCUUUGAAGGCAUGGGACUUGGAAGUUGUAUAACUCAGGUAUAUCAUAUUACAUAUAUAUCAUUCAACUAGUGUGAAUGAAUUAUAAUCAAGUUAUCUCUGACCGUUCAUGGGGACCAUGAGUUCGAUUUGGUUGAUGUGAAUUGUGAAAUAUUAACUAUGGAUUAGGAUUUUUCAAAUAUAAGUGCGGUGAACUAUUGGUCACACUUGAAUCUAAUAUAAAGAUAAGAUAAUUUAUGAUUAUUCUUAUAUAUGUUGAUUUUUCACUAGACAUCUUGAUCCUUUCAAGUGUUUUGUGGCCAAUGUAUUUGUUUGUUUGGUGCCCUUGUUUGUUGUAAUAUGUUCAAAAGAUGUCAAAUUAAAUGCAUGAUCGUUUAUCCAAAAAUAUUAUGUAAUGAAACAUCGUCUUUUCAUUACUUUUUUUUUGGUGGUACACUUCUUUUUUAGUAUGCAUUCUUUGCUCUAAUUUCUUAAUUAAUCGGUGAAGGAUUGCUUUAUGCAUAAACAAUUUCACAUAUCAUCAUUAUUUGUAUUAAACUUUAAGUUUUUUAAUAUAAAAUAUAGAAAUCAUGAAAAUUGUAUCUUCAACAUAAACUAUAAAAAUGUCCGUGAGAAAUUCAAUAAUCACCUUCAACCGAAUCUCCAUAAACAAAUAAAAAAAUUCAACUAACAAUGUUAAACUUUUCUAUAACAUUUAGUUAAUGUUUGAUUAUGCAAAACUAAUUUCUAUAAGUUAUGUGUUUGUUACAUUUCAAGAGAUUGUGCACCUUAAUUGAAUGUAAAACAAGAAAACAUCAACCAGCAGCAUUGUUUUUGACUUAUUGAAAGUGCAACCAUUGCAGGCAAAUUUCAAGAGUCUAUCAAUUACUAUUAUGGGAUUGUUCUUUGCUUUGACAACUCCAGUAGGAAUUGGAAUUGGCUUAGGGAUCAGCAAUGUUUAUGAUGAGAACAGUCCAACUGCUCUUAUUUUUGAAGGAAUCUUCAAUGCAGCUUCAGCUGGGAUCUUAAUCUAUAUGGCACUUGUAGAUCUUCUUGCUGCUGAUUUUAUGAAUCCAAGGAUGCAAAAGAAUGGUAGGCUUCAAUUAGGAUCCAAUAUAUCUCUUCUACUAGGAGCUGGUUGUAUGUCUCUUAUAGCCAAAUGGGCUUAGCUAGGUGUUUGUUUGAGUAUUCUUAAUUUUCAUUUCCUUCCAAAUUGUUCAUUUGAAGUCCUUGAUAAUUUCCAAAUAUGCCUAUAACAAUAGACCUACUAUCGAAGACGACGUGAAUAUACAGUUUCACAUGACAUUCAGCUUGAACUGGUUUAUGUUUAUCAAUUCUGGCAUUUUGGUGGACUAUUUGGGAUUUGAGAAAUGAGUGAUCUCAUUUGAUAAGUCUGAUUUCUGUGUUAUUUUGGGUUGGAUUAUGAUAUUGUCCAUCUUGACUUGAUUAAAGCUGGACCGAUGUCUAUAUUAUGAGUGGUGUGUUGAAUCUCUAUGUUGUAUUCGAAGAGCCUAGUCGCUUCGCCUUGCUGGUUUUGGCAAGGGCUUGGUUCUGGUCUUGUGCUUCUUUUCCUGCGUGAUUAUAGUACUCAUUGUACUUUCAUCAUAAUAUAUUUUAAAUUUUUUGAUUUGUUUGUUCAAAAGUUUACAUCCAGGAAGAUUGAUAGGGUUAGCAAAAUUACCGUUCUCAAUAAGUAUAUGAUUAUAUAACUUGGCUUUGUUUAUUCUAUAUCAACGUUGUUUUUUCGUCUUGCAAAGGUUCUCUCAACAUUAUUGAUGAAUAAUUCACUAAAAUGUAAGUUAUGUAACGAUUGUUAUAUCAUUCUAAACUCUGAAUGUGCUAUCACAUUCAUACCAUCAGAAUAUAACAUGUAUAAUAUUCAUCGAAAGAUAUUGAAUUACAUUAUUUGACAUUUAAAGUCAUUUGUUAUUUUUUGAUUUCAUCAAAAAAUCAAUGGUGAACACUCUAGUAUUUAUAGAGUUUGUUUGGGUAUAUGUACCUCAUCCAAUUAUUAAAAUAAAUUUAUCAAUUUUUUGUUUUGAGAAUUAUUGAAUAUGAAUCCUUUUUACCUAAUAGUUUAAAAGUAAAAUAUGCAUUUCGUUAGUAAUAUAGUUUUUCUUGAAUAUCAUUUAGAUGAAAAAUUCAUGAAUAUCUUCUAGAUAUAAAUUUUAAAAAAUUAUAAUAUACUAAUUAUAAUUUAUUAUAAAAAGUAUACAUAAGACCCUUAAAAAAUGUACAUAAGACAAAUUUUUAUGACUGGUCAGUUAAUAUAAAUUUUUUAACAAACUAUGUCGAGUAGCGUUUAAACCUACAAAUUGCUUAUCACUUUUUUUUGAGGGAAAAUUGCUUAUCACUCUUUAUCUCAAUUUUAAUCAUAUUAGUUUAAAUAGUAGAAAUCAAUUUUUCAUAUCGGUAUCCACUAAUUUAUCCACUUAUACUUUUUAAGAAAAUAGAGUCUAUUCUCUCCAAAAAUAAAAUAAAAUAAAGUAGAGUUUAUAUUAUUUUGUUGAGGUUGGAUUAACAUAAAGAAAAUGUAAGGAAAAGUGGUGUUUCCUGUGUCUGUUUAGAGCUUCUCAUAUAUGCACGUCCAAAAUCCAAAUUAAAUGACACCACAUGAUACUUGAGAGUUGGCACACAUGUAAUGUAAUAGUGUGGGACAUACAUUAAAAAUAGGUUUAAACGCACUCUCCUAUCCUCUAAGUUUGCAAAAGUUGCAAUUUUAGCCCCCAAUUAAAAAAAAUGGUAAAGGUGACCCCCUAUAUCUACCCAUUUUGUAAAACGCAAUUUGGAUUUGGUCAUGCCUGCAUGGCAUGCCACAUGUGUAAUUAGUUAUUUAAAGAAAAAUAAAAAUGUCAUGCAUGUAUAUAUGAAAUUAAAAAUAAAAAUAAAAAAUAAAAAAAGCAAGAGGGAGAACCAAGCACAGGAAUAACAGCAACUACAUUAUCAUUCAUCUCCAUUCAAAUAAUAUGUUCAUGGUAUCAUUCUCAAAAUUUUCAUUACAUUUCUUUUUCAAUAAUUAGGAAAUUCUAUAACAUUUGCCCUUUUUCUUUCUUCAACAGCGAGAAACCAUAAGCAACUUUUUCUUCUUUUUUUGUCAUAUAUUUUCCUUCCCAAUCGCAUCUAUUGCAACAAUUAAUUCAAGUUCUCAUCAACAAGAUGAAAACCACCAACAACAACAUCACGUUUUUUAGAAAACAAAAUUUGUAUUCAAUCCCUAUCAAAUACAUCUCCCAAAAACUUAAUCCAUCUAUCAUUUUCCUCCUCUUACCCGGUUCAAUUGUCCAACUAAACAACAACAACACUGACAUUCUCACUCUUCUCGUUCCUGACUUUUCUCUCUCUCCCUGAUCUAGUUGUGGCGAAACAUGGUGGAAAUGAUGGUUGUUGUAGGAGGUCGUAAGUGAUGGUGGUUGUCAGAUCUGAGAGUAUCACAGGUGGUGGUGGUUGUGACCAAUGGUUGUCAGAACUGAGACUCAUCUCUCUCAAGCAGUAGUGGAUGUAGAGAGAUACGGUGGUGGAGAGGACGGUGAUGAGAGUGGUUUUGGUGGGUGAGAGAUGAAUCUGAGAAGGUUGGUAUGGUGGUGGUGGUGCUGUAAACAUAGAUUAGAGACGAUCUUGUGGUGGUGAUAGGAGAAUAGCGGCGGCGGUGGUGGUGGUGUGAUAAGUGCUUAUUGAUCAUUUAAUAUAUGGUUCUAGCUAUUUAUUCAAUAUUGUUGUUAUUCUUGCAUUUAAUGUUUUAUUGAGAUUCAAAAUGAUAUGGACACAUAUUUUUGAAUCUAGAAAUAGAAUAACAAUCUAUCUUAAGUUAUCACUCUAGACAUGGAUGUUGAUAUUUGAUAAUCACUUUUAAUCUAUAUGAUUUAAUGCUUUUGGGUAAUUUAAUCGGUUGGGAAAUCGUCGAUAAAACUAUCCAAUCGACUUUGUGAUCGUUUAAAUGUUUGGAAAAACGAUGUUUAAACGAUCCCUUAGAAAUAACGAUAUCAUUUGGACACGGAUGAUAUUGUCGAGUGAUUGUGAUAAUAUCGUUUAAAAAGUUAGGAUCCGUUAAUCGAUCGAGAGAUUGCAGCUGUUACGCUUGGUUGAUGUCUCUGACCGCAAGCGAAAUAGCCCUAUCUCUUCUCAUUUUACUUUUAUGUCGAUUAGGAAAAUAGUUUUACGCAAACAAACAAUUUAUACCCAAACACUUAACAUGACAAAUAUUGUGAAAAUGCUUAUGAAAUAUGUAACUCCCUGUGGACUCGAUCAUAUUAUACUUACGUGUAAAUAGUUUUAUGAGAUGUAAAAAUCUUACAUCAUGGUGGUGAACAAGAUCGGAGAUGAAGGUUGAGGUGGUGUGGUGAUGUAAUAUUCUGCAUUUUUUAAAAAGAAAUGGAUGAAAAAGAUGAAGAAUUAGGUGAAGAAGAUGAAUGUUAAUCUCUUCAAUUAAUCCUUUCAUUUUUCAUUUUUUUUAAUUCUAUAAAUACACAUGUGGCCUUUUUCAUUUUUUUUAAUUAAAAAAAUACACAGUUGGCAAUUUUUAAGUUAAGUGGCAUGACACAUAGGUUUGACCAAGUCAAAAUUGGUGUUUUGCAAAAGGGGUUAAACAUGAGGGGGGAACUUUUGCCAUUUUUUUUAACAGGGGCCAAAAUUGCAACUUUUGCAAACUUAGGAGGUAAAAAGUGUGUUUAAGCCUUAAAAAUAUUGUCGUCGAUUGAUAUAAUAUUUGCUUCUCAUCUACAAUGUGUUCAGUUUGAUUGAUCAAAAUCCACCCUAAUUUUCUUGAUUAAUCAGGUGGAUGAGGGUGAUAGAGUUUCAAUUUUGUUAGUAUCAUAAUUUUGUUUUUUUGAUACGUGUAUGUCGUUGUUGUUGGAAACUUUGAAUGUGUGUUUUGGAAUUGAAUAUUGCUUAGCUAUAAGCAUUUCUCUAGACAAACAUUUCACAUCUCACGUGAUAAAAUAUGGAGUUAUUUUGGUUUUAUAAAUUAAAUAUGUUGUCUUCAUUUUGACAGAAUUUCAUUGAUUAAUAUGUAGUGAUUUUGAUAUGGAUUUGGGUGUUGCAUGAAUCUUCAACGCGGCAUUUACAUGAAUAUUGAUUUUUUGGAUAGUAAUUUUUUGUCUCCGAGGUUGCAGACGAGUAGGAGACUGCGAUUAGAAUGCAAUUUAUUUAUGUCUAUAGCAGGUAGGAGCUAAUUGUAUGUCCAUUCCAGAUAAAUGGGAUUUGGUUAAGCUUUUUUUAUGUGAUAAUGACCAAUUUUUUAUUUAUUACCGAUUUGUUUUUGGAUCCUAUAUGAUGAAUGAAACAGUGUAUGUACUAUUUUAUGGUUAUGUUAAUCUCAACAUAGGGUUGCUAGAAAUUAUAUACUAAUCAACUAAAGCUUUUAAGUUGAAUAAUAUCCAUUAUAAAUGGGAGUGGAGUUUUUGUAUAGGGGAUCAUGAAGCAAUCUGUGCAAACUACAGAUUAUAAGCUUAACUCAUUGGUAUUGAACCAAACAGAUUAUGCAAAGAUGAAUGUGUGAGGAUACUUGAUCAGGCAAGAGGUUUCUAGGAUAGAUCAUGUUACAAAGAUAAAUUCUGCAGCAAAUAAACAUGUAAUGGAAGGAGAUUUAUAUGAAAUAUGAACGCGACCCAUUUCCCUCAAUCAUAUAUGUAUUGUUGAAUCUGGAUCAUCAAGGUGCUCUAUCAAAACAAUCAACAAAGGUAGUUUCUCCUUUGGAUUAUUGGGGGAAGAUUGCUUGUUGGUAUAAGAACAUGACCAACACCAACAUUGGUCAUGUUGUAUAUGACAUGAUGCACCCCCAAAAUAUUGUGUUGGUGAAAAUUUUCAAUGACAUUUCGUUUAUCUUAUUAAUAAACAUAACUAAACGUUUUCAAUAUUCUCAUACAUAUACUUGAACUUAACAACAAAAAGAGAUAAACGUGGGAAUAGACAGAGUGCUUUGGUUAUUGAUCGAAUACCAAUAUUACAAUAUUUAAAAAUCUCCAUCUUUGAAAGACAUUGGUAGCAUCACAUGAGCAAUGGGGUCUCUCUUCACCUUCCAUUUCUUGAACUGUUUUGAAGCAGCUUUCAAUGCCCUGCCCCAUCUCUGUAUCAAAUAGCACCCACAACCACAAGUUAUCACCAAUAAUUACUUCAAUUUCAACAUUUUACUAAGCUAAUCAAUUCAAUUAAUCUACAUAAAAAUCUCAACAAUAGUAAAGUGACCAAAAAGUUUUCAAGGCUCUAAAUACUUAUUACAAACUAUCACUGUGUGUUAAAAAAAAAAAAUAAAAUAAAAUAAAAUUUUGAUGAAUACCCAUUUUCAUAAACCAGAACACAAAAUAAAAGAUAUGCUUAAAAAACAUAAACCAAUUGAUAAAUAAAUGUAAUAACAUAAAAAGUAACAAAUAAGUUAAAAAGAAAUACCUUAUUAUUGAUGAUGGGGUUACAAGCACAUUUGAUCCUUGAAGGUGUUGGAGAGAAAUCAGAAGCAAUCUUCUUGUUCUUAAUGAAACCAAAUUUGAGAUUGAAGGAAUUAGAAGUGAACUUCUUCCUAAGCUUAGAACCAACCUUGUUGACACUGCAUCUAGCUCCUAAGGCAAUGUCAUAGGAAAGUUUCUUUGGAGUAAUGAGAUCCAAAUCCAUGGGAGAGUAGGGUCUUGGAACCAAAGGGGACCAGAUUGUGCUUUGAGAGUAGUCAAAAUCAUAAGCAGAGUUAUCUGGGAAUUUGCAGAGAAGCUCUAGUGACAUGAAUGGUUCUAAAUAUUCAACAACUUUUGUAGUGUUCAGUAACAAUGGUUGUUGUUGUUGUUGUUGUUCUGCUUCUUCUACAGAUUUCAUUGCUGAAUCAAAGUGUUACUGUUUGGUUAGUUACUUUCUUUGUUUUCUUCAAAAGCUUUGGUUUGGUUGGAUUUGUUUUGCAUUGUAAUCCAAUAAAGGAGGAGAGAGAAAUAAACGACAAAAAAAGGAGCCGUUGUAUGUCAUGUCACAACUUAUUUUAUAUAAAUAAAAGUAGCAAACAAAUAAAUAAAGGAUAUUAUUACUUCCAUCAACGUUUAAUACCAAUAUUACAUAUAAAAUACCCUCUACGUUCUUUUUUAUAAAAAGUAAUUAGACUAAUUUUUGUCCCAAUUAUAAAAAGGAAACUUCUACGAAUUGAGGUGCACUGAUACACUCAAAUUUUUGGAUGUAACAUAGAAUUUGCUUUAUAAAAAAAUAUAAUAUAUAAAAACAUUUUCAACAAAUCAGAGAACUGUGAGAAACAUGGGUGGAGAAAGAGUCCCAUUUUCAUGGUAUGUAUCCUUGAGAAAGUCCAAUAGCAUGAAUGCUAAAACAAGUUAAUUAAUCCGCUUGUUUUCGGUAGUUGUUUCUUUCAUAGCUACUCGAAAUUAAAACCAUUUGAUUUUUUUUUAUUAUUAAAAAGUUUAUGUGAGUUAGAUCUUGAAUUAACUAGAACUGAUAUAGACUUUAAGGUUCAAAAAAUUGUUGAUAAAAUAUUAGAGAUUAUCCACCAACAAGGUCAUUACAAGAAUUGAAGAUUUACCCUUGUUUUUUGAAGUGCGUAUUCAAAUUGAAUAAAUUAUUUAAAAGCACUAGAGCACGUAAAUUUUCUAAUUUUCACAGACAUGUAUGGCAUAAGUGAUAAACACUUGAGCCCAUUAACCAUUUGUUUUUGGCUUCAGUUCCUAACUCGGAUGCAUGGAAAAACAUACGUCUGCACGCGCGAGAAUAUCUUGGUUUACCAAAAUAUACUACUACUUUUCUGUGUGAAAUGACUAUAUUUGAACCGAUUCCUAAUCACCUAAGAUUGAGCACAUAAAAUGCCGUUAAAAAAAAUUAAGUACAUAUAAAUAUGACCAUAGAUCUAUCUCAUAUAGUUCUUUGAGUGCAUAGCAAGCAAAACGAAAGUGCAUGUCCAAGCAAGAAUAUAUUCCUCACAAAAUAAUUGAUGAACUCUAUUUUAUACGUACUAAUAGUAUCCAAAUUCCAAAGAAAUGCAAUGCACCACUUAACCUUUAUCCUUUUAGAAAAUUGUUAGCUUAUAAUUAACAUAUCACAAAGUGACAGCAACAAAUUAAAGCGACAGCAGAAUCAACUUUAGUUUAUAUAUUCAUGCUUUCUCACUUUACGGCUACCAACUAACUAUUUAUAUUACAGUCCAUUUCUCUUACUCUCCAUCAGCAAAAUCUGUGAGGAUAUUUUCAAAUUUCAACCUCUAAUUUUGUGCAUUAGUGUUAAUCCAAUUCCAAUGGAGUCAAGAGCUUACAUCCUUAGAUUCAACAUUGCACAUCUUUGCCUCUUGAUGCUAGUUUCCACUCUUUUCCCUUUGUGUGGUAAACCAUGCAUAUAAAUUAUAUGAUUAUUUCAUAUACUAAUCUAUCUAUGUAACUUCAGUUUAAUUUGUGUAGUAAUUAAUAAAACAUAUGUAACUUUUGUUAAAUUUGCAGAUGCUAUAAAUCAUGGAAGAGGUAGUAGAAGCUACUCCAUCAAAUCAUGGAAGAAACUCAAAUUUUCAUCAUUUGGCUACUCAGACUUAGAUUCUUCAUAUGGUACUCCUUCUUCUCAACCACUUCCACCUUUCAAUUCACUUGCUCCACAACCUACCUCUCUACCACCUUAUUCACCUGUUCCAAACCCACCUCAUGAUGUUUUUAGACCACCACCAAGUCCUAAAACCAUUGUUACAAUGUCGCCGCCGCCACCUCCAAGCCCAUCAAAACAUGUUCCAAGCCCACCUAAAAGUGUUAUAGGCCCACCUCAAGUAUACUUGCCACCUAUUGUUUAUCCACCACCACCUUCAACUCAUAAGAAGCCACCACAAUAUGCUAUUUGGUGUGUGGCAAAGCCUACAGUUCCUGAUCCUAUAAUUCAAGUGGCUAUGGAUUAUGCCUGUGGGUCUGGGGCUGACUGUAAAUCAGUUCAGCCUAAUGGGAUAUGCUUUCAGCCCAACACAGUGUUGGCACAUGCUUCUUAUGCAUUUAAUAGCUAUUGGCAGAACACUAAGAUUGGUGGGGGGACUUGUGAUUUUGGUGGUACUGCUAUGCUUGUCACUGUUGAUCCAAGUAAGUUUGCACUACGUACCAUAUUUGAUUACCUUUGUUAAAGAGAUUAAUUUUCAUAUAUUUCAUUUUUUUUUGUAAGUAAUUUUUCCAUGUAUUUCAUGUUCUACACUGUUAGCACAUUUACAUGUUGAUCUAAUGAUAAAAAAAAAAAAAAAAUUUUGAAUCGGCAAAAUAUUAUAUGUAUGGACCGUAAAAGUUGAUUAUGAUAAAAUUUAAACAGUUGAUUAGGAUAAAUAAUUUAAUUUUUUGGUACAAAUAAUAAAAUAAAUUUUAAUGAAAUUAUAUGACAAAAUUAACACUUCACAUGUUUCAUAUAUAUCGAGAUUCUUUUUUUGUUACAAUGAGAUCCUUUUAUUUAGCUGUUAGUUAAGUCAUUUCACAUCACAUCACAUACUAUAUAUAUCCACACAACAGGCAUAUGCCACUUGAUUUCUUUUAAAUUGGAAUCUAUCCGGGUAGAGAAAACAUGAAUUCAUGACAUCGGUAGCCGGCGUCUGAUUAAAAAUAAAGGUUUUUUUUAAAUUACCUUUAAAGAAUGGUGGGUAAUUUAUCCACCAACCAAUGAAAAUGAGCAAUUUAUUUGUGGAGUCAAGAUAGUUCAUGAAUAUGUGUUUAUGUGGCUAAUGUGUAUUGGUUGGGGUAAAUUACCCAUCAUUCUUUCAUGGGUAGCCUAGUUGCCACCAAAAAUAAAUGGUUCAAAUAAAUAUAUAUUUUAAUUUAUAAUUUAAAAAAAUAUCAAAUUUAAAUAUGAAUGGUUUAAUCUUGAUCAAACAACUAUUGAUGUGCUAUUGUGUGAUGUGUGCUUGAUCCCCUUUCUUCUUUUGAGGUGCAUUCUUCAUUGUCACACUCGGUGGUAUUAGAUUCGCGCACAGUCACUUAAAGCCCACAUUCACCUAUUCAAAACGUUGUUGACUUAUAUGGAUCAAGAUCUAAAGGAAUUUUAAGCUGGUUUUUAAGAUAAAAAACAAAAAUCAAACCUUAAAACCUGCAUUGUUCGAUCUAGAGUCAACGAUCACCGACAUGGUGAAAGUGAAUUUUUGUAACUACAUGGAAUGCAUAUUUCGUAGUCUUUUCAAUUUAGAACUAUGGAUUAUUGCUUCAGACUAACAUUUCCCUCAAAUCCUCGAUUUAUUUGGCAGGUUAUGACAAGUGCAGCUUCAAGUCGACUUAGCUCAUUGCUUGCUAUAAUACAUAGCAUUUGGAGACUUACCAAAUAUUGAAAACUUCUUGUUCCAAUGUAAUUUUUUAUGCAACGAUAAAUUCCCUUACUUAAUUAGAUACAUUAUUUGGAGUUACCUUGAUCAUAGUAUAUUCCGCCCUUGCUUAAUUUUGUGUAGUUCUAUAUAUUUCUAAAAUGGUAGGUUUAAUAUAUAUAUUCAUGACCAUAAUUUGAUAUUUAGAGAUGUAUGUAGCUCUAUUACGUUUCUGGUUCUUUAGUUUAAAACUUAGAUAAGCACCCAUCUUUUGUGUAUUACUAUCAGCGUUAUAAUCCUUGAAAACUUAGAUAAGCACCCAUCUAAAUGCAUAUAAGGUUAAGACAAUACCGACAUCAAAAUGCAGGUUGAAUACAUUAUCCGACUAAAAUCCAUUUCGCUUUCUUCAUGCAUGUGCUCUACAGUUAUCUUCAAUGAAUAAAACAGUAGUUACCUUCAGCCAGCUUGUAAUAUGUUGUCGCACCUGCGAAGCUAAUUUGCAUUCAAAAAAUAAGUGAGAAACAUUUUCCUGCGAAGCUAAUGAAGUGUACGGAAAAAUAAAUAAAAAAUUUACAUUUUAUUAUAACAAAGCAAACAAUUUACUCUAUUGCUUUUUUCUUUAAAAAAAAAUAAAAAAUUUACUUUAUUGUUUCGUGGUGUUUUUUUUAUUCAUUUACUUACUGAUAAAAAACUCAUAUAGACAAAAGAACUGAGUUAAGUGAGAAAAAAAAUGAGAUUAUAGCUAGUAUUGAUAUUUUUACUAAUGUAUUUCGAAAAAUAUUUCAUUCUGUUGGUGUAUAAAAAUUUACAUUAGAAGCAGGGAGGGAACCAUAUUUAACGGUAUAAGAUAGGAAAGAAAAAACAAAUUACUUUACCCAAAAAAAAAAAAAAACAAAUUUUUAUUUGCAAAUAUAAUGCACACAUGAAAUUUAAGAAAUUAUAUGUUACUUCCCUCAUUUCCUUUUUUUAAGUGUUUUUUUAGAAAAUUAACACAAAAAUCACGAAGUGUAUUUUUUGCACAUUUUCUUCCUAGUAUACCCUCAUUUUAAUCCACUAAUAAAUUUCAAUUGUUUUGCAAACACUUUAUCUUUCCAAUAAAUUUAAUAUGUUAUAUUUCUCUCAUUGUGAGUUACUAUUAUCUUUUUCUCCAACAAAUUCCUAUUUUUUUACAUGCACUCUCUCAUAACAAACAAUUGUCAAUUUUCUAAAUAUUGUGUACAUCUUUUCAAUUAUUUUAAGUCAAUAUAAAAAUUAAAUUGAUGAAACUUCUUCUUCUUCAUUGUCAUCUUGUUCUUGUUCUUGUAUCUUGUCGAAUGAGUUUUCAACUAUUGCUCCCUCUUCACAUCUCAUCAUCAAUUUCAACGAGUCUUCCACUUUUUCAUCCUUUUGAGCAUACUACAUGGAGUCUUUUAUUUUUCUUCUCUCAAAUCUUUUAUUUUACUUUGCCCUUGAAAUUUUUAACAAUUGAUACUCAUCUUAGUUAUCGAAUUUUAACUCUUCUUGGAACCAUUGUUUGUAACAAAAUUUUGUUUAAAUUUGAAGAUAACAAGAAACAAACUUUGUUUAAAAAAAAACUGUGUUCCAAAUAGAUAGCAUUAAUUAGUUUUAUUGAAAAAGCUAAAAGUAAUUGGCAAAGGGUAUAAUUGACAAAUCGUAAUUUAAAAUACCAAAAAGACAGUAAAAUAGGAACGGAAAAUUCACCAUAAAAAGACACUUAAAAAUGAACGGAGGAAGUAUAUCCAAAGUUAAUAUGUAUCGAAAAUUGUGUUCAUGUGUAAUUUAUUUGUUGUUUUUUGUUGCCGUUGUUUCUUUAGUGGCACUUUGACUCUGUAAAUACUUGUCGGUGGUUCUCCUUUUGCAUACCUUAUACAGGUUGAACCACUCUGAUUUUAUUAAUAUCUCAUUUUGAUUUGUUAAAAAAAAAUGUAUCUAAAAUUAUAAGAAAUUUCAAAGAUGUUAGAAAAAUGAGUUCCUUGAGGCUUCUUUGAGUGUGACCAAAGAAGAUUUUUUUAAUAGUAGAGAUAGGAAAUAAGAAACAACAAGAAUGUAAAUGUAGGAGAAGAAAUUCAAGAUAAUAUCACAAACAUUAGUAGUGACUGAAAGGGCGCAAACAACACCGCGUGCAAUAUUUCUUACAGUUUGAGUGAAAUUGCAACAAAUAAUCACAAAUUAAUAUUCUAGUUAAGGUUCUUCUAAUUGCAUAAAAAAAAACUCACUUUAUUUCUCAAUUUCUCAAUGUUAUGCAUUCUAGUUAAGGAUUUGUGUUAUUAAAAUUUGAAAGUUAUACAAUGCUAAAUAUACUGAGUAAAAAAAAGUUCAUUAUACAAAAUCAUAUUAAGUUCACAGAAAAUAGUAUAGUGACAAAAAAAUAAAAAUAAUAAUAACAUACUAAUAUGAAGGGAACCAUGGCCUAUGUUAGUCUCCGUUCUAGUUUCAUCCCUGAUUGCAAAGUAUAUCAUAAUGCAAUCUUGUGUAGCUACGAUAAGAAUUAAAUAUUUUCAAUUAUCUACUAAUAGUAAUGAUUAAUUGACAAUGCAAGUACUCUUUACACCUGCAUUGCAUAUGAAUUAGAAGUCACUUUGUUGGCAUAUCACUCCUCAAUCUUGUGAUCCUCCGUUCAAAACUAGCGGUAUGGUAACAAAACCCAUAUAUGUGGGUAUCCGUUUGAACCAAACUUAAAUUGACGGGUUUUUUUUAUUUUAAUUGGGUUUGGGUUUGUCUCGAUUUCAAAAGAUAGAUACGGGACGGGUAACAGGAAUAUAGGUACUCAUCUCAAACCCAUCCUGAAUGUAGAAAAUUAAUUUAUUACCCAUUUUAUAUAAAUAAAAACUCAAACCCUAAAUCAUUUCACUCAUACAAUCAGAGUCUCGGUCUUUCAGAUGACACAAUUAUCAUAGUUCUUUCUUUUCUCCUUCAAUAUUCCACACUCUCAGCCUCUCUCUUCUUCAUCACCAUAGUCAUCGAUCGUCGUCAUCUUUUUACUGAAUAAUGCAUUAGUCAUUACAACUUUGCGCUCGGGGAUAAAAAAUACUUUUAUUUUUAAUAAAAAAAAAUUAUCCACUUCGGGGAUGGGAAUGAGGCGGGGAUGCCCAAACCCGUCGGGGACAUGGAUGAGAUUCGAUUUCUCAUCUCCGCUGAAUAUGGGUAUGGUAACGGGUAAGUAUUUGAAAAUAUGGUAUGAGGACGGGGAAGGUAAAACUCAUCCUCACCCUACCCCAUUGUGAUGCCUAUUCAUGAAGCACAUAUAUUUAGGUAAAUAUUAGAAUAGAAUAACAUUGGAAUGAAAUAAUGACAAAAUUAUCUCUUCACAUGUUUCAUAUUGAGACUCUUUUAUUUACAAUGAGUUCCUUAUUUCGUCGUUAUAGUUUAAGUGAUUUCACAUCACAUACUAUACCCUAACAACAAAGACAUAUUAUGCCACUUGGUUUCGGUACACAUUUCAUUGUCACGCAUCGUCGUCUUAUGGUUGUUGUGCCUUCAAUUUAGUUAAAACUAUGGGCUAUUGCUACAGACUGACAUUUUCCUCAAAAUCAAAACCACCGUUUAUUUGGCAGGUUAUGCAACUUCAUGUUGACUUCCUUCUAUUGAAAACCUCUCUUUCCAACGUAAUUUUUACGUAGCAAUACAUCCCCUUUGCUUAAUUAGUGACAAUAUUUGAAGUUACCCUACCUUGAUCAUCAUCAUCCCUUGCUUAAUUGGUGACGAUAUUGGAAGUAACCUUCAUCAUCUUCUUUGUGGUUUUUCUAGGAAUUCUUUAGGUGUCUUCGAGUUUGGAAGCAUACAAUCAUUUUUGUAAUAAUUAAAAAUUAAAAUUGUUACAAACUUCUAAAACACGGAAGGGUGAUUGAGUUGUCCUCGUGGAGUCAUGUGUCCAAUUGGUUAUAUAUACAAUCAUAUUAUAAUAGUCGUAUAUACGUAAACAUUUUUUAAAAAAAUAUGUACCACACUUUAAAAAUUCACAUAUGCAUUAAUUAAUUUACUUUUAACCUUAUCUUCUAAUAUAUUAUUAUAAAUUAAUUAAUAGUUAUUUUAAGAAAAACCAAUAAACAAUAUAACGCAAACUUGAAACAAAGAGUGAAUCAAGGAGAAUCUACAAAAUAAGUAGAGUAAUGUAUAAUUAAUACAGAAAAAAAAUUAACAAAUAAAAUUUAUCUCACCUUACCAAUGGAGAUUUUAUCUAUUGGAAAUGGUUGAUAUACUUACAAUUAGUUUUCGACACACAUCGAAUAUGAUUAUCUCCAAUUUAUGUGGCGGAAAAACUUAUCACACACGUUAGAAAAAGAAAAAAGUGUUUAUUUUUCUAGUUCCAUGAGUUUCUACAAGGUUUUUUUUACUUCACUAGCUAGUGAUGACUCGCAUGUGAGAUUUGCGAGUGCAACUUAACAUAUGUGAUUUUGAGACCACGAGAGAAGCAUAUAAUUUUUUUUUUUAAAGUACUAUAAAAUAAUAAUAAAAUUUGAACAUAUAUAUGAAAUGUGGUUGUAUCUUUCAGCAUGGAUUAGAACUUUGUUUGUCAUGUUUAUGAGAGUUUAAUCUCUUGCGCUAAAUUCAACCUUAUUGGUGAAUCUAGAUUUUUUUUUUUAUGUAUAUAUGUAUAUAUAUAUAUAUAUGAUGUUUCUAACCUAAUUAAGAGUUAUAUGUUGUAAUAAUAUUAUAUAAUUGUCUUUUUACUCCUUUUCGAUCUUGAGUUAUUUUGGGACGGGAAAAUAUCUUUAUUUUGGUUUUCAUAUAACUAUUCCCCCUUUUUUGUGAAUCCAAAGCAUUGCUUGAAAACUUUUAUUAUCAGCAUUGCUCGAAAGUUGAAACUAUUCCCGCUGGAUUCAAAGUUUUCAACUUCACUAAUUUCUUUGAAAAGAAAAUACUAUAAAACUUCACUGACAUGUUACGUUACAUUUGGAAGCCAGUCAUGUACCGUAAUAAUUGAAGAAAAAAUAUUAUCAGCCGACACUAAAUGCAUAAAAGGUUAAGACAUUACCGAUCCAUGUUUUGUCGUUGAACAAUUAGUCAAAUGUUAAUUGGUUUCAUUCAGAAUUAAGUGUAAAAAAUUUGAUGAUGAUAAUGAAAGAGACUUGAGUGUAUUACCCGACUAAAAUCCAUUUCGCUUUCUUCAUGUGCUCUAGAUCUACAAUUACCUGCUACACAUUCCAAUGGAUAAAUUCUGGUAAUUAUAAAUGUGAUUACUUAAAAUAUAUAUGGUGGCUUCUUAAACUAAAUUAUAUAAAUUGUUAUCGUUAAAAAGCGACUUUUAGAGUUUAUAGCAACAAUCGUAUCUAUUUGUUCACGGGUUUUUGGAUUAAGUUAGAUUUAGGCUAUUGGUCAUUUCAGUCCACUUAUAAAAAUGGAAGGAUGGAUAUUAUUUUAUUAAUUUACACCAUUCGGAGAAUUUCCUUAUUUUGUAUCAAGUCAAAUAAAAAUUAUAGCCUCAACUCUGGCAAAUUAUUUGCAACAUGUUACCCAAUAGUCUACAUUAUAUAUCUAUUAAAAAUCUUAAUAUCUUGUACAAACAUUGUGUAUAAAUCUUUAUUCGAUCAGUUAUAACAAAUUACAUAGACAUAUAGUGUGUUCGAUCGAGAAAAAUAAAUAAAAGAUUGGACAUGAUAACUACAUUUAUACUAUGUGAUUGUAAAACUACAUCAGGAACUAGAUAAACUUAGAGGGUAAAGGACACGAUAAAAAUUGAAAUUAUUAUCAUUUACUAAAUCAGAAUACAACUUUUUGCCUCAAAUACAAGUGAAUAAAAUACCCAAAUAGACUUUUAUCCACCAAGGAUCGUCGUCUAAGAUAAAAAAAAUUGUUCAAUAUAAUUAAAGUUAGUAAUGUGUCUUAUGUCUUAUUCCGUGUUCUUAUGUCCAAUACUUACAUUUUUAGAUAAUCAAACGUAUUCAUCCUGUUGAAGUACAUGGAGUCGAUACAAGUUAAGAACACAGUGGCUUGGGUUAGGUGAUAGAUGUACAAUCGUAUAGCUUAUAGGUCAAUUCUAACAUGUUUCUGAAAGUCAUUUUGUAUGGAGGUGUGUUAUUUGAACAAUCAUUUGAAUGAUAACUUUUGUGACAACCACUAAUUUACAAAGGAAAGUAGAUAGUGACACGGAAACCAAAGUAAUAGAGAGAUAAAGUAAAAAAAUAAUGUGAGUAUGAAAAAUAAAAUUGUCACAAAAUGGUUGUCAAAAUAUCAUUUCUCUUUUGUAUAACAUGCACAAAUAUUUAAAAGAUAAAUGAUAUUUGUAUAACCAUUUUUUUGACAACUUUUAGACAAUUUUCUCUCUCAUAUUCACGUUAUAUUCUUAACCUUUCUUUUCCUUUUUCUCUCUCCUUUGUUUUUAACCAAUAAAAAGAGAGGAAAAAAAAGUUGUCAAGAAAGUUGUUAGCAAAUAGUUGUUCAAAUAUCAUUGCUCGAGUUAAAAUCGUGCUCACUAAACACAAAUGAUUUUUGACGAAGUUUUGUGUAGGCACAAGCAUUUCGGCGCACAUACAUAAAUCAAAAAAAUUAAAAGAUAAAUAAAACAGUCACAUCAAUCAAUAUCAUUUUAAUCAUUUAGUUUUUAAUUUUUUUUUAACUUCAUGGAUGCGUACCUAAAUGUGAGGUGUUGGUCAUAUGACCAAAUAAGAGAUUUUCAUGAUUUUUUUACCAUAAGAUCAAAAAGUUAUAUCAUAUCUCAUUUUAUUACAUUUUUUCUUUAAUGGUGGGGUUUAUUGGUUUCUAAAAAUAUAUCAAUUACCACCCUUUGUUUUCAAAUUCUUUAACCCCGUCACUAAAAACAUAAAAGUAUUUGGAGUAGGUUUAUUUUGUGAAAACAUUUUAAGUUUUCUAGAAUUUAUAUUUUUAAGCAAAAGUGAAUUGCAAAAAUUUAAGCGAGAUUUUUUAUCACAAGUUUACAAUUAUGGUGAAAUCGAAGAACUUAACUACUUAGGUUGUAAACUAAGAACAUUUUAUUAACAAAGAACCAAAAACAGGCAUGAUGGAGUGCAUAGACCAAAAUCUAAAGAAAAAACAUCAAACAGAAAUAAAGGGAAACUAUGUCGAUUAUUAUAACAACAAUCCUCUAAAAUAAAUCUAGGUGGAAGAGUCCACCAAAUAUAACGUUUAGAUUAAAAACCAAAUCCCGCUAUAAAUAUGAGAGAUUACAAUUAAUUGCAUUUGAGAACACAAUGACAAAGCAUUGCGUUGUCUUUUUUUUUUUUUUUUUUUGUCAUUUAGCUUAAUGGCUAUAGAAAUUCACCUUAAAGAUGAAUAAUUGAAGUGUCAUGCAUCGUCUGUUUUUUAAUCUCCACGUGAUAGACCGAGAAUUCUAAAAAGACUUCACCGAUAAUGACGGUGGAGAUUAAAAAACGUUCAUAAUUGCGGCCAACAAAACAAUUUGUGACUAAUAAUUCUAACCUUUUUAAAGAAAAACACGAAGUAGACAAGAAAAAGGAUGUAUCAAUAUGACAAUCAAUGGAAGUCCAAAGUCAACUCUAAAUGUUAACAUCAAAUUGAUUAACGUUGUAACUUGUAACACCUCGUUUUUUCAACUUAAAAAUUUCACAUAUAAAUUAAAGUAUUUCAACAUAAACAGAAUGUCACACUUCUUUUCAUAAAAUCAUAAACAGAAUAAAAUAACUAUUUAUCCUUCAAAUUCAACAGCAUAUCAUUUAUUACAUCGCAACGGAAUGUAUUCAACAUUUAAACAUCUUUUGCACCAAGGCCUCAACAUAAAAUCUCUUAAAGUUAUUCCAACAACAUGUUCAUGAAAGUUCAUAAAAUAAUACGUAAGGAAUAGAAAGCAACAACAAAAUUCUCAUCCCGUUACGUAUCAGGGCACCUAAGACACACGUGAGAGAUAGUCCACUCACGACAACAACUAACAGCAACUAUUCUCGAUCACCUGCAGGUUACCCAUAUGAAGGGUAACAAUUCCAAGCAGAAGGGGUGAGAUUUCAUAUUCAAAUAAUAAUAAGCAUAUAAUUCAUUAAAUGCAUUUAACAACUUAAACUUCAUCAAUUAAUAACAUUAACUCUUCUUAUAAUACUUCGUUAAUAACUCAAUCAAUUUCUAAUCAUCAUUAACUUCAUAUUCAUCACAUUAUAUACAACAUCAUAUAGCACAUAAUAAUCAGAUCAUAAACAUCAUCAUAUAACGACAUAAUCAUCACAUCAUAAACAUCAUCUUAUAACAAGAUAAACGAUACAUCAUAAACAUCAUCUUAUAACAGCAUAAACAACACAUCAUAAACAUCAUCUCAUAACGACAUAAACAACAACGAUUAAUAAAUAUUAAUACUUCACUUAGUUCUUUAUUAACAACUCAUUGACAAAUGACAACUUAACGACAACGACAAUGCGACUUCUACAUCUUAAACUCAACAUAUGCAACUUCAACUUCUUAAUCAUGCAUGUGGUACCAACCAGAGCAUCAAGCCCUCAACAUAAAGAGCAUAAAUACACUCACAGGGCAUCAAGCCCUCAACAUAAGAGCAAAAGCUCACAGAGCAUCAAGCCCUCAACUUCAAAUGAUUAUGCAUGGACUCAAAAACGUACAACUUAGACAAAUUCACAACUUAUAUGAUCCAAUAUCUUGGAAUAACAACUUACAACUUUACAACUUAGACCAACACUUGCAACUUAAUGACAAUAAUGGUUCAACAACAACAGAAACAGCAACAUAAACAUCUUGCAACAUAGCAACAUCAAUAAUAACAAUUUGAAUGAUAUAAACAAUAAUAAUUUCUAUAUCAUACAUUUUCAACACCUUAUAUAAAUAUCUUAAAUUAACCAACAAUCAUUAAUCAUUUGAUUCAGGCUCUCUUUAACUCUAUAACUUAAUAACAACUUCCAUUCUUAUCCAAAGAUCAACUCAAAACAUAGGUUAAAUACUCUUAAACAUCUUAAUUGAACUCAUAGUACUUCUAGUUUUGAGGUUUUGAAUUAUCCCAUAAGUUUUGGAUUAACUUAGAAAUGGUUAUGCUGAAUUUUCAUAAGAUUUCACUAAGACCUCUCUGGAGUAUUUUUUAUCAUAUCUCAAAAACCAAAAAUCAUUUUCAAAUCAAACCAAAGCCAUUGAAAAGCUAAUAAAAUUAUCUAAAACUUUCAUGUUUACAACUAGACACAGUUCAAAGCGGAAAGGGGUGAAAAAUAGUAAAAUAAGAAGGAUCUGAUUCACAAAAAUCGUGCCACGUUUUUAUGCCCAGAACCAUUGAACUUUCGGCCAACAAAAUUGUGCCACGCUUGCAAAAUCGUGACACGUUUUGACAGCAUCAGGUCCAGAAAUCUGCUUUUCAAAAAGUGCAAUUUUCACCAUUUCGCGCGUAAAAUUCAAACCGUUAAUCGGAUUUUGAUGCCGUUUUCGCCUACACGCUCCUGAAACUUGGCUCUAUCAUAAUCUACAGCUAUUUCAAGUCUCAACCAUCCCAAGAAUCAUUUUCCAAAACCUCACAUAAUCCCUUAUUUGCAAAAACGUUUAGACACCGACUUUUCAAGCGAAAAUCUCAAUUUUCAUCAACUCAACCCCAAAACUGGUUCUAAUCAUUGUACUGUGAAUAAUCUAAGGUCUGAACAUCGUUUCUUCAUUAAUUCAACAGGUUUCUAUCAUCUAAUCAACCAAUUACAACUUUUAACCCUAAUUUCCCAAAUUCCCAAAACUACAACCUACAACAUGUUAAAUCCAAUUUUCAGAAUUAUACAACUUAUAAUUAAAGAAUGUUAUCAUUCUAGGUUCUUCUCUUCUAUUGUUUUCUCCCUUUUUCUCCAAAAACUUGUUUUACGCGAUCCUUAUUUUCUAAUUCUAACUCUCCCCUUUUAUAUAAAUCCUUAACCUACUUAUUUUCUCUUAUUUCCAAAUCUACCCCCAAAGUCUCAAUAUUCUAUUCUAAUAUAUAUGUAUAAUAAAAUACUUCUAUAACAAAUAACAAAUAUAUCUCUAUAACAAAUAUAUUUAUGUACCAGAUAACAUAUAUAUUUCUUCACCAAAUUAGAUAUAUAUUUCUACACCAAAUAACAUAUAUAUUAUACUAAUAAAUACCAACAUAUAACAUAACAAAAUAUCACUCAUCAAAAUAAAUCGACUAAAUUAUAAAAAGACAUCUAAAUUCAAUAAAAUAAAUAAAUAUUAAAAUAGGGCGUUACAAACGUGCUUUCUAUCAUCGAUGAACCAGAGCAAAAUUACCAUUAGAUUCAAUCAAUGGUCAUGAUUUAUACAAAAUAAAAAUAAGAACAUUUAAGAAUUGCCUCGCACAAUCUUGCCCCUAUUAAACUUUUUUAUUUUUGGUAUUCAUCAUCUUCAACCUCCAUUCCAAUUUUUUCGUAAUAAAAAAAAAAAAAAAAACUCCAUUUCAAUUUAGGAGCAAUGCUACAAAAGAGAAUUUGCACAAAAAAUUGAGUGUGUCUUCAAAAGUUUACGGGGUUUGCUAAAAAUCUAGUUUAUGGGUUCAAUUGGAGGUGGUGACUAAUGAAAUUGGAGGUUUAACUCAUCCUUAAAAACCAGUUCAUAAGGUGAGUCACGCCCAGCACUCUUUGGGCUUACGUGAAUCGGUAGGUAUUUGGGCUUACGUGAAUCGAUAGGUAACUCUUGAAUUCGACAGGUUCUGAUACCAUAAUGAAAUUGGAGGCCUAACUCAUCCUUAAAAACUAAUUCAUAAGGUGAGAAUUGUCUCCUCUAUAUUAACUCUUAUCAAGAGUCUUAUCUUUUCGAUGUGGAACAUGAGUUUUUUUCAAUAAUGACCUUUAAAGUUUAAACACGCGGCAUCUUUGAAUUCUACAUAGAAAAAAAAAAUAGAAUUAUAGCGUGUUAUGUUUGUUUCUCUAGAGCAUGAGACAUUUCAUUGUUCAGUUUAUGUUGUCAUGGAAAGGCAUAUGAGUGAUGGGUGUACAUCAUCGAUCGGUGGUUUGAUUCUCGUGAAUAGAACAAAAAAAAUCUGAGCUCAAUGGUACAAAUCCUUACGAUGAAAGGUGAGAUAUAGUAGGAUUGUGUGUGGAUAGUUGUAAAUGUUAUCUUUUUUAAUUCUAGUAGAUCAAAAUUGUUAAUCUCAUUUCAUGGUAAAAAUUAAAUAGUCCAUUUGUGAGGGACUCAAUAGCUCCUUCACCUUAGACGUCACCCUUAAUUAAUAAGAAACUAACGGCGAGGGACUCAACUCCCUCACCUUAGACGUCACCAUUGAUUAAUAAGAAACUAACGAUUGAAGUAAAUAAACGAGAAAGAAACUCAAACUUCUUUCUAAACUUUCUUUCUCUUUCGUUCAUCAAGGAGGGGUGGUUUUUGACCUAGAAUCACCCCUCUACAUCUUUUUUCCCAUUUUCUUUCAAUCUAAAUAAGUGGUUUUCACAUACAAGUGUUUCCUUUUGUGUUUUUUGUGAUUUUGUCGUCUAAGUACAACGCUGUGUUGGUCGUCGUCUUGUGCGGCGUUUGAUUUCACGUCUUGUCGCGGCGUUCGUUUAGUUUCUAUUGAAAGAUUGACAUCGGUCAAUUAUAAAUCCAAUCAAUGAUUUGGGUGUGAAUGUUGCCGAUCUAGAAACAUGAGUAUUUCGGUGACUUAGAUUUAAUCAUAUUAGUUGUAGCAUUUUGUCAUUUUAUGUUAUUAACUUGGGUGCUGUGAGUUUGUUCGCAGUUUUACCCUUUACGUUUCUAGCGAUUUUUGUAUCUGAUGUACUCUAUCAAUCUGAAUGAAUGAAUAUCGUUUUGUUUUUAUUAAAAAAAAAAAAUAAAAAAAAAACUAACGGUUAAAAGUUUGCUCUACAUGCCUACAAUGAUAAUAAAUAGAGAUAAUUUACUACAACUUUUAAAACAAUGAUGCUCAUUUAUAGGAACUUUACCAUAAAUAAGUCUCCAAAGAAAAAAUGAUUUGGAUUGAGGAAUUGAAGGUUUCCAAAUAAGCUAUGUCCAUGAUUGAUCAUAUGCAGAAACUUGACAAAAACUAUCAGCAUCCUAAACUGAAAGAGAACCUGAUGAAGAACCCUUCUAAGCAAGAUAUUCAGUGGAAAACUAUACCCCGAUAUUUAUCAAAUUUCAUAUUUCACCAAUUCAACUCUCUCUAUCAAUAGUAUAUAUAUAAAGUAAGAUUUUUUAUGACACGUGUCACUUCCACGUUUAUUCGCAAUAUUUUUAUUUUUUUUCUAAUUUUUCAAAACCAAUAUUUAAUUUGGCAUAAAUAUCUCAACAAACUUUUGAUCUUAUCUAUUAAAUAUUUUACUUAACUAUUUAUUGAAUUCCUAAUAUUUUAUGUAAUAGAAAUAUCUCAACAAAAUUACAUACGAUACCCUUCAAUUAAAAAUCAUCAAUCAAUCAAUAGUAUAUAUAGUAAGGUUUCUUAUGCCACGUGUCACUUUCAUGUUUAUUCGCAAUAUUUUUAUUAUUUUUAUAUUUUUUAAAAUCAAUAUUUAAUUUUGUAAAAAAAAAAUCAAUAUUUAAUUUGGCAUAAAUAUUUCAACAAAAUUUUAACCUUAGGGAUGGCAAUGGGUACCCUAUCCCAAUGGAUAGGGUACUAUAGUACCCUAUCCAUUGGGUACUCAUUGCCAUAAAUGUAUUGGUCUAUUCUCCACUAUCAUAAAUAUAAAGUGAAAUAUAUUGAAUUGGAAAUGAUGAAAGUAGUAUUAAUUAGAGUUAUAAUUGAAAAAAAAAGUAAUUAAUAAUUGUAUUGAAAAGUUAAAUGCAUCAAGAUUUUUGAGACAAUAUUUUUUACAAAUAACUUAGUUAUUAUGGGACGGAGGGAGUAACACUUUAACAUGACAAUGAAAAGUAAAUUUAAGAAUUAAAAUGCAAGAAAUGAAGAGAAUGUUUCUCUAACACAAAACUAUUUUUUUUUUCUCUUUCACUUAUACACUUUUUUAAUGUGUAAAAUAAAAAAUAAAAAAAACUUAUGUAUAAUGAGACGGAGGGAGUAGUUAGUAAGAACAAAGUCGUCAAGGAACCAAUUAACUCUUGAUUUCACUUCCCAAAAACGUCUUGAUAGUGCUAUACUCCCUCCGUCCCAAAUUAUAAGCAAAAAAACAAAAAUCACACUUAUUAAGAAAACUAAAACAUAAAAAUUUGGAGUAUAGUUUUUUGUGUUUUCGUUGGAAAAAGUUUUAUAGGAAGAUGUAAAAACAAUUUUCAUUGGCUAUUGAUUAUGGAAAAAAUGAAAGAAAGAGAAAAUUGAAUGUAAUUUGCAUUUAAUUUUAUGAGAAUAACAAAAAAAAAUCUUGGAAAAGAUUAAAAUUUGUCUUUUUUCCUUAUAUUUUGGGACAAAGAAAAUGAAUUUCUUUUGCUUAUAUUAUGGAACGGAGGGAGUACUUGGUUAAGCUGGAUUGAGCAUUCAAUUCUAAUUUAAGGGCCUUUAAUUUACCUUAAAGAAUAAACAUAGGACAACCAACCACAUAAUUAUUUAUACCAAACAUUUUCCACCACGUGGGUGAUAUCUGGAAGAUGAGAGUCCAUUUAAGUGAGUCAAUGUGACGAAAAAAAAGAUAAAAUGGCAAUUUUAGGAUCGUAAAUUUCUGAAAAUAAUGGAAGUAGUAAUUCUUUUAACGUUUUCAUUGUUUUAAAAAAAUUAUCCAAUCAUAUUUUAUAUGCAAUUUUUGUUUUUUAGAUUAAUUAAACAAUAAAUUUUGUUAACCAGUGUCCUAAGGGUGAUGAUUAAGGAAUUCAAAUGUAAAAGUUUUGUCUUGUAAUUGUAGGAUGUUACAUUUGAUCAAGUAAUGAUUAUACUACUUUUUAUUAAAAACUUACUUGAUUUAGUUGUUUAACCAGUGUGAACACUAGUUAACAUUCUCCUUAAAUAAUUGAUGUUUCUGAAAUAUAAUAUAUAUAUAUAUAUAUAUAUAGCUCAGAUACAUCACUUAUUUAAUGAAGAGUUUUUUUUUUUUCCUUCUCUUAAUUAACGAAUAAAACUAACACUUAUAUAUCUACCAAAAAAAAAAAAAAACUAACACUUAUAUAAUAUAGUUCGGAUACAAUAUAUUUAUAUAAUAUAAUCCGGAUACAUCACUUAUAUAAUCAACAUUGCUAUUUACCGCGACAAGUUUUGUCCCGAAUGCAUCAAGAAUGAAAAUAAGCCAAUUAAAAACAGCUGUUAGUGGAAAUCAUGGGAGGUGGGGGAGAAAAAGAUGGAAAUCAUAAACUAAUGGAUGGAUGGCAUACAUGCCACAUGUGUCUGGAAAAUCUCGGGACAGUUUUAUUUCGUGUGAAAUAGCAUUUUUCCUUAUAUAAUAUAGUCCAGGUACAAGGCAACUAUCACCGGAUGAGGUUUUAUCUUUUUAUUAAUGAAUAAAACUUUUUUUAAGAAGCUAAAUGCAAAAUAUAUUAAAAACCAAAUUAGUUAAGCACAAGAUGUGCCAAACGAAAAACUGUGUAUAACGUCAAAGUAACAAACUCGAUAAAGAAAGAAACCACAAAUAAUAAAAAUCAAAAGCGAAAUUCAGUUUAUGUGUCUUUAGCCACCACAAAAAAUGAAAUUUAAUAUUGUCGAGAAGUUGAUCCUUAGAAGACACGUUGUUAUUGAAAUUUCUCGAGUUUCUCUCCUUCCAAAUUCUCUCCUUCGAAAUAACUCAAAGACAUGUCAGCACACCACUUUAAAACAAGAGCUAAUGUCCUUCCUGAAAGCAUGCGCGCCAAAAAAUUGUUGUGCGUGACAACCAAUAUUUGAUGGAACGACGGUAGUUUUACCCUACCAGAUCAACAAACACCCUACCAGAUCAACAAACAGGGAAAAUAAAUAAAAAAUAUUUUUGCAAAGUAAUUAAACGGAUUCUAAUGUUUAAUAGGAACCGAUCGAGGACAACAUAGAAAUCAUGCUGGAAUUUGAAGAAGAAAUACAAACCUAAUUAAAGAGAGGGGCUAAGUAUUUCCAAGCUGGAACUUGAAAAAGAAAAACCAUGCUCUAAUUAAGUAACUAAGUAAGGUAGUACAUUACAACAAUUGAGAUAAGUACGACACAUUAUGAUGAUUAUGACUUAUGAGCUGUUAAAUGAUGUUGUAGGAUUACUUUUUUCUUGUCAAAAAUAAAUAAAUGAUGUUGUAGGAGAAACAUUAUUAUAAACAUUAUUAUAACUUACAAGGACUAAUGUUUAAAAAAAAAAACUUACAAGGACUAAUAAUGAGACAGAACGAAAGUGUACGUGAGUGUAGGAGACACGUUAUUAUAACAUUUUAUAAAUAUUUAAACGUUGAUAAUAAUUUUGUCGAUCUAUAAACCACUACCAAUUCCUAGUUAAAUAUAUAAUAAUUUUUAUUAUAUUUGUUAGUUGAUGGUAAAAGAUGAAUAUAAUUUGUUACUAUAUUUUUUUUUGACAAAAUAAUUUGUUGCUAUUUAAAAUUCAUAAAUAUAGUCUAUACAUAUAAUUUUAAUAAAAAUAAAAAUUCACCCAAAAAAAAAUCAAAAAUUUCAUAAAAAAAUAAAUAUUGUUUAUAAUUCACGAGCGUUGUCGCAGUACAAAAAUGGAUAGAUGGAUACCCAGUACUAGUAAUUAAUGAAGUUAAUUGGUAAAAUUUCACUCUUACUGGUGGUUGAUGGUAGGGGUGUUUACGGUGCGGUUUGGUUCGGUUUUGAGAGAAAAAGUCAUCCAAACCGCAAGAUAAAAAAACAUGCGGUUUGUGUAACACCCACAGCUGACGAGGGCAGGGGAGUGGUCACCGGUGCACAAGGCACGCCAAUGAGCGGCUCCCGACAGCUUCUAGAGGAACCGAAUCACAUCUGAAUGAGAGGGAUCCUGAGGCCGUGUAGGUGUGGGACUACAUGAAUGAAGGAAUGCUUAUAAGAAUUGUUUGGUAAUACCUAUAUCAACAAGGUGCAUCUUCUUUUUGGUACCCUAUUCCAUAAGAACUCCACAGUUAAGCGUGCUUGACUUGGAGUAGUCUUUGGAUGGGUGACCUACCGGGAUUCCCGAUAAGCAUGCGAGUGAGGACAAAACACGCUGAAAAGACUCGUGUUGGUUUGUAGGGUCAGUCGACAAUGCUUAAAGUCGUCUGGGAUGUUACAGUUUGGUUUGGUUCGGUUGGCUUUAAAAUAAAAUCCGAACCAAACCAAACCAAUAUGGUUUGGGUUGUAUCGGUUGGUGCGGUUUUUUUCGUGACGAUACGAUUUUUUGUUUCCAACAUUAAAAUCAAGAUAAAAAGCUGAAACACAAUAUAUUUUCAACAAUGUUUUAAAUUUCAUCAAACAUUACAAUUUCAUUUUCAUUACAAUGUUUCCAACAACAUAAACCAAAUUAAAAACGCGGACAAAAAGUAAUCUUAUUUUGUAAGAAAUGCAAAAGACUGAGAUGUUCUCAUUCUCUAAAAGUUAAGUAGCACAUAAAUACAUUUUUAAAUAAAAAGCAAAUAAUGAACUUAACAAGAGAAAAAAAAUAUGACAUUUUAUAAAAGUUUUCAUUGAGUUUCUAUGAGUAUUGGUCUUGAUGACAUAUGUUUAAUUAACAUUUUUCUUAUGUUAUGGUUUGGUUUGGUUUUGUAUCUAUUUGACAGUCUCUUUGUACUUUGAGCGACCUCUUUAGUACGCCUUAUGCUAAAGAGGUGUCUCUCUUAUUGUGAAUAUAUAUCAUUUUACCUUCUUAAAAAAAAGUUAAUUGGUAAAAAAAAAAAAAAUUUCUCUCUUGAUUUAUAUGAAAUGACAUUUUUUUUUGGAACAUGGAGGGUAUUGAUUUUUACACCUUUUCAAAAGCCACUCAAGGAUGAAUAUAGAUUUUUCAUGCAUCAAACACAAGAAUCAUUAGCAUAACAUGCUUUGGAAAACACACACAUAUACUUAAAUUAAUGGUUGGAGUAUCAAAUUUAAAAAUAUUGUUGUCAAUACAUACCCCGUCAAUCCUCCUUUUUUACCCAAUAAACAUUGAAAUGUUGCUUCUUUCGUUAAGCAUAAAAACAUCAAAGUCUAGCAAAAUGUUGUUUUUGCGAUGACACAUUUCAUAUAGUUUAAAGGAUGCAUGAUUCGAUUACAAAAACAAAAUACUAAUAAUUCUAGCACAAAGUUUAAAGCUAAGAUUAUAAAGCUUCAUAGCAUGUGGAUAUUCAUUUAGAAAUAUAGGAUUAGGAUUGCCCCUUUCAUCACGGGUCUAAUAGCACCACUUGUCACUACAUGUUAAAAAUGUCCUCUAGUACAACACCGCUUUUUACUUGAUUCCCCUUGUCCAUGAAAAAAUCAAACAAUAUUUGGACACAAAAAUUUGCCCCCACUUUCCUUUUUCUUCUGCCCUAGUUUGUUUGAAAACUCAUAUUGAUCAAAUUUGGCUAUGAAUUCAAACAAAAAAUUCACUCUGCCCAUUGCAUGUGUGGGACCCACAUAUAAAUCCAUGAAGGAUUUCAAUGUCCAUCCAAGUCAAUGAUUCAACAUAUAACAUUGAAUAAUUUAAUUCCAAUUUGCAGUAUUAUGAUUUAGAUUGAUUGCUGCAAUACGGUCCGUGAAUGUAACUCACGAGAAAGAGGUAUCAAGGUAUUUUAUUUUAUUUUUAACAAAUAAAAUUUCAAGGUCUUGUUCACCAUAUAAACCUCCUCACUCUCACUCAAUUCUCUUAAGUGUAUGACUUCAUAGUAAACUACACUACUUUCUUUAAAACAUGGCUAACUAUGCUAUAGCCAAUGUUUUGAUCCUUCUCUUGAACUUGAGUACCUUACUCAAUGUUCUUGCUUGCCCUUAUUGUCCUUACCCAAGCCCUAAACCACCUUCACACCACCCUCCUAUUGUUAAGCCACCAGUUCACAAACCACCAAAGCAUUCUCCUACUCCUAAACCACCAGUUCAUAAACCACCAAGAUAUCCUCCUAAACCAUCACCUUGUCCACCCCCAUCAUCAACACCAAAACCACCUCAUCAUCCCAAACCCCCAGCAGUACACCCACCACAUGUUCCAAAACCACAUCCACCUUAUGUUCCAAAACCACCAAUUGUUAAACCUCCAAUAGUACAUCCACCUUACGUACCAAAACCCCCAGUUGUGAAACCACCACCAUAUGUCCCUAAACCACCUGUUGUGAGACCACCCUAUGUUCCUAAACCACCAGUUGUACCUGUAACACCACCUUAUGUUCCUAAGCCACCAAUUGUUUUCCCACCACAUGUUCCUCUACCUCCAGUUGUACCAUCACCACCACCUUAUGUACCAACACCUCCAAUUGUGAAACCACCAAUUGUUUUUCCACCACAUGUUCCUCUACCUCCAGUUGUGCCUGUAACACCACCUUAUGUGCAACCACCACCUAUUGUAACUCCACCAACACCAACACCUCCAAUUGUGACACCACCAACACCACCUAGUGAAACACCUUGUCCUCCACCACCACUUGUACCUUAUCCACCACCACCAGCACAACAAACAUGUUCCAUUGAUGCUUUGAAGUUGGGUGCAUGUGUUGAUGUGCUUGGUGGACUCAUACAUAUUGGUAUAGGUGGAAGUG